AGAGAGAGACAUGCGCGCAUAUCAAUAAGCGGAGGAAAAGAAACUAACAAGGAUUCCCCUAGUAACGGCGAGUGAAGCGGGAAGAGCUCAAAUUUGAAAUCUUAAAGGGUUUCCCUUUACGAAUUGUAGUUUAAAGAAGUGUUUUCUGUUGAGGUUUUGGUAAAAGUUCUUUGGAAUAGGACAUCAUAGAGGGUGAGAAUCCCGUAUUUGACCUUUACUUUUAACUUUGUGAUACACUUUCAAAGAGUCGGAUUGUUUGGGAAUGCAGUCCAAAAUGGGUGGUAAAUUUCAUCUAAAGCUAAAUAUUGGCGAGAGACCGAUAGCGAACAAGUACCGUGAGGGAAAGAUGAAAAGAACUUUGAAAAGAGAGUUAAACAGUACGUGAAAUUGUCAAAAGGGAAGCGUUUGACACCAGUGUUGUUUUUCUGAAAAUCAAUUAAAGAACUGUUUAUGCUAAGCUGUUUAGACUUUAUCAGCUAUCUGUUUAGUUUUGAGCUUUUCUUUAAUGCACUUUUCAGUUAACAAGUCAACAUCAAUUUCUUUUGCUGUAAAAAAGCUUGAGGAAGGUGGCUUGAGAUUCGUCUUAAGUGUUUAUAGCCUCUUGCCUAUGCAGUCGGAGAGAUUGAGGUCUGCAGCGUAGAUCCUUCGGGGCUAAAUGCAUUUGUGCUAAGUUAUAGCAUUUUAUAGACAACUUGUUGACUAUGACUUAGUCUUGUAGCUUACUCGCUUAUGCUAUUUUACCUACGCUUAGGAUGUUGAUGUGAUACUGCGAGC
rnacentral:rRNA from 1 species